rnacentral:rRNA from 1 species
AUAUCAGUCAUGCAUAGCAUAUCAAUAAGCGGAGGAAAAGAAACUAACAAGGAUUCCCCUAGUAACGGCGAGUGAAGCGGGAAGAGCUCAAAUUUGAAAUCUUAAAGGGUUUCCCUUUACGAAUUGUAGUUUAAAGAAGUGUUUUCUGUUAGAGUUUCGGUAAAAGUUCUUUGGAAUAGGACAUCAUAGAGGGUGAGAAUCCCGUAUUUGACCGUUAUUUCUAGCUUUGUGAUACACUUUCAAAGAGUCGGAUUGUUUGGGAAUGCAGUCCAAAAUGGGUGGUAAAUUUCAUCUAAAGCUAAAUAUUGGCGAGAGACCGAUAGCGAACAAGUACCGUGAGGGAAAGAUGAAAAGAACUUUGAAAAGAGAGUUAAACAGUACGUGAAAUUGUCAAAAGGGAAGCGUUUGACACCAGUGUUGUUUAAUUGAAAAUCAAUUAACUAAUUUUUGAUUUUAAAUAGUAUUGACUUUAUCAGCUUGCUAUUUUCUUUUCGGAAAUUAUUUAAUGCACUUUUCAAUUAACAAGUCAACAUCAAUUUCUUUUGUUGUAAAAAGGUAAGAGGAAGGUGGCUUAUGCUUCGGUAUAAGUGUUUAUAGCCUUUUACCUCUGCAAUCGGAGAGAUUGAGGUCUGCAGCGUAGAUCCUUCGGGGUUAGAUACAUUUGUGCUAAGUUAUAGUAUUUUAUAGACAACUUGUUGACUAUGAUUUAUCAUGUAGCUUACUCGCUUAUGCUAUUUUACCUACGCUUAGGAUGUUGAGUAGCGACAGUAUCUCUGUAGAGUCUGCAUAUCAAUAAGCGGAGGAAAAGAAACUAACUAGGAUUCCCUCAGUAACGGCGAGUGAAGCGGGAAGAGCUCAAAUUUGAAAUCUUCAAGGUUCUACCUUGACGAAUUGUAGUUUAAAGAAGUGAUUUCUGUUGGUGUUUUGGUAAAAGUUCUUUGGAAUAGGACAUCAUAGAGGGUGAGAAUCCCGUAUUUGACCAUUAUUUCCAGCUUUGUGAUACACUUUCAAAGAGUCGGAUUGUUUGGGAAUGCAGUCCAAAAUGGGUGGUAAAUUUCAUCUAAAGCUAAAUAUUGGCGAGAGACCGAUAGCGAACAAGUACCGUGAGGGAAAGAUGAAAAGAGCUUUGAAAAGAGAGUUAAACAGUACGUGAAAUUGUCAAAAGGGAAGCGUUUGACACCAGUGUUGUUUUUCUGAAAAUCAAUUAAAGAACUGUUUAUGCUAAGCUGUUUAGACUUUAUCAGCUAAUCUGUUUAGUUUUGAGCUUUUCUUUAAUGCACUUUUCAGUUAACAAGUCAACAUCAAUUUCUUUUGCUGUAAAAAAGCUUGAGGAAGGUGGCUUGAGAUUCGUCUUAAGUGUUUAUAGCCUCUUGCCUAUGCAGUCGGAGAGAUUGAGGUCUGCAGCGUAGAUCCUUCGGGGCUAAAUGCAUUUGUGCUAAGUUAUAGCAUUUUAUAGACAACUUGUUGACUAUGAUUUGUCUUGUAGCUUACUCGCUUAUGUUAUUUUACCUACGCUUAGGAUGUUGACGAUCAGCUGAGCGCG